GCGGAUGUGGCGGAACUGGUAGACGCGCUGGAUUUAGGUUCCAGUGCCGCAAGGCGUGGAGGUUCGAGUCCUCUCAUCCGCA
rnacentral:tRNA from 1 species